rnacentral:rRNA from 1 species
UACGUAGGGGGCCAGCGUUGUCCGGAAUCAUUGGGCGUAAAGCGCGCGUAGGCGGCCAGAUAAGUCCGGUGUGAAAGUCAAAGGCUCAACCUUUGAAUGCCGCUGGAAACUGCCUGGCUUGAGUCCGGAAGGGGCGAGUGGAAUCCUGGUGUAGCGGUGAAAUGCGUAGAUAUCGAGAGGAACACCUGCGGCGAAGGCGGGAUUGCUGGGC